AGAGCCCAGAAAUUGAAGACAAGUCACCACAGACAUAACAGAUAUACAAAGAAUCAUACUAGAAUAUUAUGAAAGACUUUAUGACACCAA